rnacentral:rRNA from 1 species
AGUGAACGCUGGCGGUAGGCCUAACACAUGCAAGUCGAACGGCAGCACAGUAAGAGCUUGCUCUUACGGGUGGCGAGUGGCGGACGGGUGAGGAAUACAUCGGAAUCUACUUUUUCGUGGGGGAUAACGUAGGGAAACUUACGCUAAUACCGCAUACGACCUACGGGUGAAAGCAGGGGAUCUUCGGACCUUGCGCGAUUGAAUGAGCCGAUGUCGGAUUAGCUAGUUGGCGGGGUAAAGGCCCACCAAGGCGACGAUCCGUAGCUGGUCUGAGAGGAGGAUCAGCCACACUGGAACUGAGACACGGUCCAGACUCCUACGGGAGGCAGCAGUGGGGAAUAUUGGACAAUGGGCGCAAGCCUGAUCCAGCUAUACCGCGUGGGUGAAGAAGGCCUUCGGGUUGUAAAGCCCUUUUGUUGGGAAAGAAAAGCAGCAGGUUAAUACCCCGCUGUUCUGACGGUACCCAAAGAAUAAGCACCGGCUAACUUCGUG